GUCUUCGUGGCUCAGUUGGUUAGAGCGUUGGUCUCAUAUCAUUCAGUUGAUUGACUCGAUUAAACAAUAUUGGGACAUCCAAAGGUCGUGAGUUCGAGCCUCACCGAGGACA
rfam:Microdochium bolleyi strain J235TASD1 unplaced genomic scaffold Micbo1qcscaffold_14, whole genome shotgun sequence.